rnacentral:rRNA from 1 species
UACGUAGGGUGCAAGCGUUGUCCGGAAUUAUUGGGCGUAAAGAGCUCGUAGGCGGUUUGUUGCGUCGGCUGUGAAAUCCCGAGGCUCAACCUCGGGUCUGCAGUCGAUACGAGCAAACUAGAGUGUUGCAGGGGAGACUGGAAUUCCUGGUGUAGCGGUGAAAUGCGCAGAUAUCAGGAGGAACACCAAUAGCGAAGGCAGCUCGCUGGGACGGUACUGACGCUGAGGCGCGAAAGCGUGGGGAGCGAACAGG